AUCUUUGCCCUUGGGGCAAUGAUGCCGCUAGUGAGGCAUAACCGAGGCGUGUCAAUUGCUGGUUGAAAACUAUUUCCGCACAUAGUGAAUUACCUUUAAUAUAGUGAAUUACCAUUUUGCCAAGGUGUCAUAGUGAACAACC
rnacentral:snRNA from 1 species